UAGGGAAUCUUCGGCAAUGGACGAAAGUCUGACCGAGCAACGCCGCGUGAGUGAAGAAGGUUUUCGGAUCGUAAAACUCUGUUGUUAGAGAAGAACAAGGGUGAGAGUAACUGUUCACCCCUUGACGGUAUCUAACCAGAAAGCCACGGCUAAUUACGUGCCAG
rnacentral:rRNA from 1 species